UGCAGUCGAGCGGAACGAUCCCAGCUUGCUGGGAGGCGUCGAGCGGCGGACGGGUGAGUAAUGCAUAGGAAUCUGCCCGAUAGUGGGGGAUAACCUGAGGAAACUCAGGCUAAUACCGCAUACGUCCUACGGGAGAAAGCAGGGGCUCUUCGGACCUUGCGCUAUCGGAUGAGCUUAUGUCGGAUUAGCUGGUUGGUGAGGUAACGGCUCACCAAGGCGACGAUCCGUAGCUGGUCUGAGAGGAUGAUCAGCCACAUCGGGACUGAGACACGGCCCGAACUCCUACGGGAGGCAGCAGUGGGGAAUAUUGGACAAUGGGGGCAACCCUGAUCCAGCCAUGCCGCGUGUGUGAAGAAGGCCCUCGGGUUGUAAAGCACUUUCAGUGAGGAAGAAUGCUUGUCGGUUAAUACCCGGCAAGGGAGACAUCACUCACAGAAGAAGCACCGGCUAACUCCGUGCCAGCAGCCGCGGUAAUACGGAGGGUGCGAGCGUUAAUCGGAAUUACUGGGCGUAAAGCGCGCGUAGGCGGCUUGAUAAGCCGGUUGUGAAAGCCCCGGGCUCAACCUGGGAACGGCAUCCGGAACUGUCAGGCUAGAGUGCAGGAGAGGAAGGUAGAAUUCCCGGUGUAGCGGUGAAAUGCGUAGAGAUCGGGAGGAAUACCAGUGGCGAAGGCGGCCUUCUGGACUGACACUGACGCUGAGGUGCGAAAGCGUGGGUAGCAAACAGGAUUAGAUACCCUGGUAGUCCACGCCGUAAACGAUGUCGACUAGCCGUUGGGGUCCUCGAGACCUUUGUGGCGCAGUUAACGCACUAAGUCGACCGCCUGGGGAGUACGGCCGCAAGGUUAAAACUCAAAUGAAUUGACGGGGCCCGCACAAGCGGUGGAGCAUGGUGGUUUAAUUCGAUGCAACGCGAGAACCUUACCUACUC
rnacentral:rRNA from 1 species